GUUUAAAUCUUCUAAACUGUGAAUUUCUAAACCGUGAUUAUUCACUGAAGUUCAGCACUGCAGCGAAUUGAAAUCAAGAGGACAAAGUGGAGGCAAGAAUAAUCGAUACAUACAAAUUCUUCAGCGCUGCUAUCAGUCAUACAGUUUCGCUAUUUUAGCCAUUUAGAGGUCAAUUUACUACAAGUUGGAGUUUAGUAAAUAAAUUUGCGCCUAGUAAAAC